ACAUGUCUUAUUGAAAAUAAUUUUAAGUCAAAUCUGCUCCAUGAAAUUAAAUUUUUAAAUAGCUGCAGUAUCCUGACUGUGCAAAGGUAGCAUAAUCAAUAGUUUUUUAAUUGAAAGCUGGAAUGAAAGAUUUAAUAAGGUAAAUAUUGUCUCAAAUUUAAUAAUAGUAGAAUUUAUUUUUUUUGUUAAAAAACAAAAAUUUAUUUAAAAGACGAGAAGACCCUAUAGAUUUUUAUUAUUAUUUUUUUUAAAAGAUUUUAAUAAAGUAAAAAAUUUAAAAAUAAUUAAUAAUUUGGUUGGGGAAAUAAUUAGAUUAAUUUAAUUUUAAUAUUUAUUAAACAAAAAUUAUUGAAAAUUAGAUCUUGAAUUUUUAAAUUAACAGAAUAAAUUACCUUAGGGAUAACAGCGUAAUUUUUUUUGGGGAGACCAUAUUUAUAAAAAAGUUUGCGACCUCGAUGUUGAAUUAAGAAAAAAUUUUAUUGUAGAAGAUAAAAAAUUUUGGUCUGUUCGACCAUUAAAAUCUUACGU
rnacentral:rRNA from 1 species